UACGUAGGGUGCAAGCGUUGUCCGGAAUUAUUGGGCGUAAAGAGCUCGUAGGCGGUCUGUCGCGUCUGCUGUGAAAACUCAGGGCUUAACCCUGAGCUUGCAGUGGGUACGGGCAGACUAGAGUGCGGUAGGGGAGACUGGAAUUCCUGGUGUAGCGGCGAAAUGCGUAGAUAUCAGGAGGAACACCGGUGGCGAAGGCGGCUAUCUGGACAGAGUCUGACGCUGAGGCGCGAAAGCUAGGGGAGCAAACAGG
rnacentral:rRNA from 1 species